AACGCUUCUCGGCUCUCUGAGCUAAGAUCAUGUGUAGUAUCUGUUCUUUGCAGUGUAAUAAUAAUAAUAAUAAUCUACUUUAUUCCGAAAACAGUACUAAUA
rnacentral:snRNA from 1 species